UACGAAGGGGGCUAGCGUUGCUCGGAAUCACUGGGCGUAAAGCGCACGUAAGCGGCUUUCUAAGUCAGGGGUGAAAUCCUGGAGCUCAACUCCAGAACUGCCUUUGAUACUGGAGAGCUUGAGACCGGAAGAGGUAAGUGGAACUGCGAGUGUAGAGGUGAAAUUCGUAGAUAUUCGCAAGAGCACCAGUGGCGAAGGCGGCUUACUGGUCCGGUUCUGACGCUGAGGCGCGAAAGCGUGGGGAGCAAACAGG
rnacentral:rRNA from 1 species